rnacentral:rRNA from 1 species
GGAUCCAGACUUUGAUUCUGGCUCAGGAUGAACGCUGGCGGCGUGCUUAACACAUGCAAGUCGAACGAAGCACUCUAUUUGAUUUUCUUCGGAAAUGAGGAUUUUGUGACUGAGUGGCGGACGGGUGAGUAACGCGUGGGUAUCCAGCCUCAUACAGGGGGAUAACAGUUGGAAACGACUGCUAAUACCGCAUAAGCGCACAGGAUCGCAUGAUCCGGUGUGAAAAACUCCGGUGGUAUGAGAUGGACCCGCGUCUGAUUAGCCAGUUGGCAGGGUAACGGCCUACCAAAGCGACGAUCAGUAGCCGACCUGAGAGGGUGACCGGCCACAUUGGGACUGAGACACGGCCCAAACUCCUACGGGAGGCAGCAGUGGGGAAUAUUGCACAAUGGGGGAAACCCUGAUGUAGCGACGCCGCGUGAGCGAAGAAGUAUUUCGGUAUGUAAAGCUCUAUCAGCAGGGAAGAAGAAUGACGGUACCUGACUAAGAAGCACCGGCUAAAUACGUGCCAGCAGCCGCGGUAAUACGUAUGGUGCAAGCGUUAUCCGGAUUUACUGGGUGUAAAGGGAGCGCAGGCGGUGCGGCAAGUCUGAUGUGAAAGCCCGGGGCUCAACCCCGGUACUGCAUUGGAAACUGUCGUACUAGAGUGUCGGAGGGGUAAGUGGAAUUCCUAGUGUAGCGGUGAAAUGCGUAGAUAUUAGGAGGAACACCAGUGGCGAAGGCGGCUUACUGGACGAUAACUGACGCUGAGGCUCGAAAGCGUGGGGAGCAAACAGGAUUAGAUACCCUGGUAGUCCACGCUGUAAACGAUGAAUACUAGGUGUCGGGGAGCAUUGCUCUUCGGUGCCGCAGCAAACGCAAUAAGUAUUCCACCUGGGGAGUACGUUAGAAGGAAUGCAACUCAAAGGAAUUGACGG